GAAAAGGAGAAUGGGGGGAAGGACAUAAGACGACUUUGGUGGAAGGUGAGGGAGAGUCCCUAGAUAUGAUGUGAGAAUUUGAGGAUGGGAAUAGAAGCUUUGGGACUAUCCUCAGACCCAGAGAUGAUGGGAUCUCCCUGAGGGAUGGAAAUGGGAAACAGGAACUGAGAUUUAUUUCCUGUGUGUUGGUAGAAAGGAGUUGGGAGCCACAGGUGAGAAACUCAAAGGUGAAGUUACCUGGGAGCUGGAGAUAUAAUGGGCUUCCUGGGGCUCUAGAGAUGAAGGGAAACCUGGACCCUGAAUCCGAGAUCGAUGAUUUCCAGCCGGAGGUGGGAGUUGCUCCAGAGUCUGUGAUCUGUGGUCCUCUGGAGGUGGUGCUGGAAAGAAUUCAUUCAGAGAAUUCUGAUCUCUCAUUCAGAGAGAUCCUUGUGAGGAGGUGGGUAAUUGAUGGUAAGAAGUAACGGGAAGGAUCAUGGCUUUGCUGCUCCCCAGGGAUGGGAACUUUAGCAAGCUAACACUUCAGCUUUCUCUGGUCUUGUUUUCAUUUCUUUCUCUGAAAAAAAGAUGAGGCUAAAUAGGACUCACAGCCUCUUCUGUCUUUAUAUCUGAUAUAUGGUCUCUGAUAUAUGAUAUAUGGGGCCUCCCUGAAUUGCACUUGUAGCCAAAAUAAUUUGUCACUGUCCCUGCCUGCUUUGUACCUCUGAGCAAGUCACUUAAGCAAAUUGAGUAUCAAUUUCUUUAUCAGUAAGAUAAGAAUAACAAUUCCUGCAUUAUCUCUCUUACAGGGGGUAAAGAAAAUGCUUUGUAAAACCUAGUGUUCAAUAAACGGGGACUUUUAAAAAUUUACUUUAUCCCCCAAAUAGUUUCUAUAAUCAUGAAUUAGAUCACUUUUAUUGAAUUGUUCAAUUGUGACAAUCUCUUCUCAACUUCAUGUGAGAAGUUUCUUGGCAAAGAUCCUGACCAUUUUCUUUUCCAGUGAAUUAUAGUAAACAGAGGUUAAAUGCCUUGCCCUGGUCAACCAGCUAUAGUCAAAUAUGAUUCUUGGCUCAAUCAUCAAGGUGACAUCCAGGAUAGUGUCCAGGCCUUGGAAUCAGGAAAACCUGAGUUUUCUUCCUCCAAUACUUAAGCAGCUUUGUGACCCCUGAAAACCUACUCUCAUAAAAGCACCUCACAUUUCCUCUGGCCUUCAGUUUUUUCUUUGGUAAGGUGAAGAUGUUGGUCUAAAGGUUUCCUUCUAGCUCUGAAAUCUAUGCUUACUUGCACUGCUGUUCUCACAUGUUUGUUGUGAAGAAAGUAUUUUAUGAACUAAAAAGCAUCACUAAAAUGAAUCAGGAUUAUUUUGGGAUAGAGAGGCAGCAGCGUGAGGGCACCUGAGUUCAAGGUCCUAACUCUGCCCUUUCAUAGGACUGGUGACAUUCAGAGCUGAAACAUUCAAAUCCAAGGUAUUUCAUUGACACAGAAUGAAAGGUCCCAAGGAAUAAGUAGGAGAGCCAGGAUCUAAACCAAGUAACUUUCUCUCUUUGAGAUUCAACUUUGUUCUUUAUCAGAGGGUGAUAGUAAACUUUUCCUUCUCUCCUUCAUUGAGAUAUUGUAUGGAUUGUACUUUGUAAACUAAAGCAAUGUACUAAGGUGAAUUGUGAUCAUAAGGCUGAUUCUUUCCCUUCAGGGCCACUGGAAGGCACCUGCCAAAGGAUAUCCAAUCCAGAAAGUUAUGACAAAGAUGGCAAGUUACAUAAAGGUAGUCUUCAGCUGGAGCCAUCCUGCCAUAAUUCCUUAUAUUCAUCUUUACUUAAUAAUAGUUAUAAUUUACAUAGUGUUUGCAUAUAAUAAUAGCUUCCAUUUAUAUAAGGCUUGAAAUCAGUUCACAUAUAUUCAUUUGAACUUCGCAAUAAUCCUGUUAAGUGCUAUUUUUAUCCCCAUUUUGUUGAUGAGGAAACUGAGACAGAGAGGAUAAGGAUUUGAACUCAGAAAGAUAAGUCUUCCUGACUCCAGGCCUGGUACUAAGGCCAUCUUGUCCUGAACCAGUGUCUCUUCCAUAACAUCCCUAACAGGAGUGUUCAUCGAGUGACUGCUUUUGAAUACUUUCAAUGAGUAGGAAACCCAUCAGCUCCCAAGGCAUCCCAUGACUCUUGGAUAACUGGAAGGAUAUUUGCUCUUCCCUUAGGUCUAACAUGAGUCAUUAAAUUGUAAAGAUCAAUCUGAUCCCGGAUGCUCCUCGAAUCUUUAGAGUUAGACAAAAUCAGACCAAUCCUCUGCCACUUCCUGAUGAGUUGCUAGAGUUCAAGGUUCCUGGACCAGCAUUCCUUGGAUCUGGUCAUCAUUUUUCUUUUUUCUUUUUCUUUUCUUUUUUUUUUUUUUUAUCAGCAACUGGACAAACUCAAGAGAGGAAGCUGAUUGAUCUAUCCCCAGGUCUCUUCUUCUGGGCCCCGGGACCCCAUUGCUAAAUUAGUCUUUCCAUUCCUUCCUGGACUUCAAGUUCCUUCUCUCUGGGGCUAACCACACCUAGCCAAUGAAUCAAUAAAAAGAUUGGUCCCUUUAGUAGCUGCAUUGUGGUCUUCUGUCUUGGCAGCUUCCAGCCAUGUGAGUGAAUUGUGGUUAGAAGUUUCCAGUGUGUCUAUUGGAGAAAGAAUGUCUUUUCUGGGGAGAGAGGAGCAGCUAAAGAAAUUGGAUUGAGUAUUGGGCUAUACCUUGGGCAAGACUGCAGAGCUUCAGAAUGCCAGUAAGAGUAAGUCACCUAACCUGGUCUACACCUUAGUGGGACUUUCUUCUAUAAGUUCUUUGACAAGGUGUUCAUCCAGCCUCUACUUGAAGGUACUUAGUGGCUGCCUUCCCAGGCAAAUCUAUCUCACUAUUAGAAAGCUCUAACUGGAACUGAUUCACACACCCCCCCCCCAAUUUAUACAUUUUAUGUUUUUUAAAAUUUUAUUCUAAUAGUAUAUUAUUUUUCCAAUUAAAUGUUAAGAUAGUUUUUAACAUUCGAUUUUGUAAGAUUUUGAGUUCCCAAUUUUUGCUUCCUCCCUUUCUUACCUUUUCCCUCACCAAGACAACAAGUAAUCAGAUAUAGCUUAUACAUGCACAUUCAUUUUAAACAUAUUUCCACAUAAGUCAUCUUUGGAAAGAAAAAUCAAAACAAAAGGCAAAAACCAUGAGCUAGGAGAAAAAACAAAACAAAAACAUAAAAAUACUGAGUUUCAAUCUGGAUUCAGCCUUCAGAGUUCUUUCUCUGGAGGUUGAUGGCAUUUUCCAUUACAAGUCUAGUGGAAUUACCAUGAAUCACUUCUUUGCUGAGAAAAAAUAAGUCUAUCAUGGCUGAUCAUUACAUAAUCUUGCUGUUAUUGUAUACAGCAUUGUCUUGGUUCUGCUUACUUCACUCAGUAUCAGUUCAUAUAAGUCUUUCUUUUCUGAAAUCUGCCUUUUCAUCAUUUUUAUAGAACAAUAAUAUUCCAUUACAUUCACAUACCAUAACUUAUUCAGCCAUCUCUCUACUGAUGGCCAUCCAUUCAAUUUCCAGUUCCUUGCCACUACAAAAAGAGCAAUUGCAAAUAUUUUUGCUCAUAUGAGUCCUUUCCCCUCUUUUAUAAUCUCUUUGGGAUACAGACUCAGUAGUGCCACUGAUGAAUCAAAAAUGUAGUUUUAUUGCUAUACAGGGCAGAACUUGGAAGAAAUAUACUUUAAACAAGUGUACUUGAAACAAAGUGUUAACUCAGUGGAAUUGAUGAGAUAAUGGUUCUCAAGUUCCCAUAUAUAAUUAGGACUUACUAUGGUGAUGUAAUGGUUCUCUAAAUUCAUACAUAUUCAGUAUGCUGUAAUGAUGUAAUUACAAUAAGAUAAAGAAGGGCUAAGAAGGACUAGAAGAUAGGCAUUCUAUUUUUGACCAGCCUCAUGGUGGCUGUCCUACCUUCAUCACUUCUCCACUAAGAGCAAGGACUUGGGCUGAUCCCGAGGUCCUCCAGAAAGCUAGCUUGAACAUUACAUUUUGGCAGCCAAUGUGGGGCCUCUUUGGAUAUAGUUCCAAAUUGCUCCCCUUAACAGCUAGAUCAGUUCACAACUCCAACAAUGCAUUAGUGUCCCAGUUUUCUCACAUCCAGUUCAACAUUUAUCAUUUCCUAUUAUCUUAGCCAAUCUGAUAGAUAUGAAGUGGUAUCUCAGAGUUGUUUUAAUUUGCAUUUCUCUAAUAGUGAUUUAGAAAAUUUUUUUCCAUAUUACUAUAGAUGGCUUUAAUUUCUUUACCUGAAAAUUAUUUGUUCAUACUCUUUGACCAUUUAUCAAUUGAAGAAUAACUUGUAUUCUUAUAAAUUUGAAUCAGUUUCUUAUGUAUUUUAGAAAUGAGGCCUUUUUCAGAAACUGCUUGUAAAAUUGUUUCCCACCAUUCUGCUUCCCUUCUAGUAUACAUUGAUUUUGUUUGUGUAAACCCUUUUUAAUUUAAUGUAAUCAAAAUUAUCCAUUUUGCAUUUCAUAAUGUUAUCUCUUUCUUGUUUGUUCAUAUAUUAUUUCCUUCUCCAAAGAUCUGACCAAUAAAUUAUCAUUUGCUUUUCUAAUUUGCUUAGCACCCUUUUUGUCUAAAUCAUAUACCCAUUUUGAUCUUAUCUUGGUAUGGGGUGGGAGAUCUUGGUUUAUGCCUAUUUUCUGCCAUACUAUUUUCUACUUUUUUCCCAUAAUUUUUGGGAAAUAGUGAGUUUUUACCCAGAAGUUGAGUCUUUGGAUUUAUCAAGCAGUAGAUUACUGUAGUCAUUGACUAAAAGUGAUUUCUUAUAUCAAGCCAAAUCAGGUUUGAGUGCAACUCUCACAACUCUGCAUCCCAUUCAUUGCAGAAUACAAUCAAUCUCUCUUUUAAGAUAGCCUUUCAAAAACUUGAGGGCAUCAAUCAAAAUUCUCUUAAAUCUUCUCUUUUUCAGGAUAAAUAUCUAUACUUCUUCCCAUGAUUCUCCUAUGUAUUUGAAGUGGUGAUCAGUGAAUUUUUUCUAUUUUUACUUUCCUCUCCUGUUCUAUCACUUUGGGAUAAUUUUCUUUAACUAUUUCCUUGUAUUAUUGUCUCAAGAUUCUAC
rnacentral:lncRNA from 1 species